rnacentral:rRNA from 1 species
AUAAACCGUGGUUGCCUACCUCCUUUGGUUGGUGGGGGCGGCUCCUCUGCUGUGGGUAAAAGGGAAACCCGACUCUACAAACCCAAGGAAAGGCUGCACAACUUCCGUAGGGGCGUUAAGACCGGAGCUUUUUGUAGUGCUAGCAGGAAUGCACGUGAAUGA